rnacentral:rRNA from 1 species
CGGGAAUUCGAUUUUCCGGUUGAUCCUGCCGGACCCGACUGCUAUUUGGGUGAGAAUAAGCCAUGCGAGUCGAAUGGGAUACCUAAAUCUCCCAUGGCAAACUGCUCAGUAACACAUGAUCAACUUACCCUAUAGAGAAAAAUAACCUCGGGAAACUGAGGAUAAUGUUUCAUAGUUGAAUAGGCUUGGAAAAGUUUUUCAAUAAAAGGGAUAAGGAAAAUGGUCCUUAUCCGCUAUAGGAUAGGAUCGUGUUCGAUUAUGGUUGUUGGUGAGGUAACGGCUCACCAAGCCGAUAAUCGAUAGGGGCCGUGAGAGCGGGAGCCCCGAGAUGGGUACUGAGACAACGACCCAGGCCUUACGAGGCGCAGCAGGCGCGGAACCUCCGCAAUACACGAAAGUGUGACGGGGUUACCCAAAGUGCUCUUUCUAGAGCUGUGGUAGGUGAGUAAUGUUCCCUACUAGAAAGGAGAGGGCAAGGCUGGUGCCAGCCGCCGCGGUAAAACCAGCUCUUCAAGUGGUCGGGAUAAUUAUUGGGCUUAAAGUGUCCGUAGCCGGUUUAGAAAGUUCCUGGUAAAAUCGGGUAGCUUAACUAUCCGUAUGCUAGGAAUACUGCUAUACUAGAGGGCGGGAGAGGUCUGAGGUACUACAGGGGUAGGGGUGAAAUCUUAUAAUCCUUGUAGGACCACCAGUGGCGAAGGCGUCAGACUGGAACGCGCCUGACGGUGAGGGACGAAAGCCAGGGGAGCGAACCGGAUUAGAUACCCGGGUAGUCCUGGCCGUAAACGAUGCAUACUAGGUGAU